rnacentral:rRNA from 1 species
GAUCCUGGCUCAGGAUGAACGCUAGCUACAGGCUUAACACAUGCAAGUCGAGGGGCAGCAUGGUCUUAGCUUGCUAAGGCCGAUGGCGACCGGCGCACGGGUGAGUAACGCGUAUCCAACCUGCCUUACACUCUUGGACAGCCUUCUGAAAGGGGGAUUAAUACAAGAUGUUAUCAUGAGUAAGCAUUUUCGCAUGAUUAAAGGUUUACCGGUGUAAGAUGGGGAUGCGUUCCAUUAGA